rnacentral:lncRNA from 1 species
UGAUAUGGUUUGGCUGUGUCCCCACCCAAAUUUCAACUUGAAUUGUAUCUCCCAGAAUUCCCACGUGUUGUAGGAGGGACCCAGAAGGAGGUAAUUGAACCAUGGAGGCCAGUCUUUCCCAUGCUAUUCUCAUGAUAGUGAAUAAGUCUCACAAGAUCUGUGGGUUUAUCAGGGGUUUCCACUUUUGCUUCCUCUCAUUUUCUCUUGCCGCCGCCAUGUAAGAAGUGCCUUUUGCCUCUCACCAUGAUUCUGAGGCCUCCCCAGCCAUGUGGAACUGUAAGUCCAAUUAAACCUUUUUCUUCCCAGUCUCAGGUAUGUCUUUAUCAGCAGCGUGAAAAUGGACUAAUACAUCUGUCUUCCAUCUUUCUGCUCAAAUGAUGCAUCUUCUUUUUUAAGAUCUUAGGUUAAAUUCUGCUUCCUCCAGGAAGCCUUCCCUGAGCUGAAACUCAGAUGAGUUAUAAGCCCCUUUAGGGGUGACUUCUGGUUUUAUGAUAAUUUCCCUUCACUGAGAACUUCCAGCUCUCUAAAAACAGAAUUACAGGGAAAGGCCCCAGGAGCCAUCUCUGUCUGUCACGUCUGACGAGGGACGGAUGGACCCUGACCCAGCCUGGGCGAAGUGGCACUCUCUGCUCUGGGAGCUUGAGUUUGAGAUCCAGCCUCCUCACGGGGUUGAGCCUGUGAGCCUCGACUAACUUGGGCACUGUGGACAGCCAUGCUGUGUUACUCAACCUGAGGGGCAGGAAAAGCUUGUUUGCAGAGAGAAGAGAGUGAAGCUGACCCAGAGGCAGAACAGAAACAGGGUCUAUGAAGAGCGGGUGUUCCCACUCCCUGGUUUCA